rnacentral:ncRNA from 1 species
AUCUUCAGGGCGAGGCGAAAUUCCUCACUGGCGGUAACGCAAAAAAUAAUGCGAAGCCCGCGACCUCGAUUGUUUAUUUUGAUGUGGCAGUGCUUGUUAGUGAUGCAGACGGAAAAUAGAUAAUCGGGCUGAUUCGGUGGAAAUCCGAGGCCAACGGUUAAAGUCCGGAUGGAAGAAGAUG